rnacentral:lncRNA from 1 species
CAGAAACACAUCAAGCAGCUGUGAAUGCACCCCACAUGCAGGCACUGUAAUCACCUUCCUGUUCCUGUAAUGAAAUAGAAGCAGUGCAGCAGUAUUUCAGCAGGCUCCACAGCGAGUUCCUCAGUGUCCAAGGGUUCUGUCUCCAGUACAAGAAAAAUUCUACCCCAAUGGCUCCAAAGAAAUCGUGUUUCCCAAUGGGACAGUGAAACAUUUCAAGGAUGGACAGGAAGAGACCUUAUUUCCUGAUGGGACAAUCGUAAGGGUGGAAAGGAACGGCGACAAAACCAUUGUGCUCAGCAACGGGCAGAAAGAAAUCCACACAGCCCGGUUCAAGAGGAGGGAGUACCCGGAUGGCACCGUCAAGACUGUGUAUUGCAGCGGCUGUCAGGAAACCAAGUAUGCCUCCGGGAGGGUUAAGAUCAAAGAUGAAGCUGGAAAUGUCGUCCUGGACGAGAAGCAGAUGAGCCCUCAACACGCAGCAUCACAUGGGAAAUGCCAAUUGCAGAUUUUUGCUAAAACAGACAAAAACUAAUAACAUAUUAGCUGCCCUAAAUGAUCUUGGAGAGCCACCAAAACUUUAGGACUACCCAAGUCAUCUAGAAAUUGCAAAGGAAAAGACAUUCUCUCCCCUAUUUAGGAAACUUGGUUAGAGCAGCACACGUCAGAGAACAGAAGGCUCACAAAAG